UUCUAAUUAAAUAUGCGACUGAGUCUCAAAGCAUUUGCUUUCAGCCGCAGAGAGAAGAAGCUGCCCAAGAAUGGAAAGGAAGAAAUAUAUCACAUCAUCUGCCUGUCCACAGGCUUUCCUUUGGGCUUAUGGAGAUUUCCUAAGGGUAAUUAUUUCCCACUGACUAAGACCAAAGGACAGUGUGAACACCUAACAAAUAGUAUGUAGCUGGUAUGGAGAAUAUGCCAAGUCAGCUGGAUGAGUCAGCACAGGCAACACAAAGGACUGCAGUUAAAAGCUAGGGCUAGGACUUGGAGGAUGUGUAGGCAAACGGAAGGAGAGCCGAGGGAAGAAAAACCGAAAUGGAUUCAUUCUCUGUCCUGGAUGGAGGAGGAGAGGAGAGGAGAAGAGAAGGGGAUGUGCGAGCUUCCUUCAACUGCCUCUGUCCGGUGAAAAGUGCUCAGACCCCCGGGGCUGCGCCGGGCUCCGGAGUCCGCACGGACUUUCGCGUUGAGCUGCCAAUCAAACCGCUCACAGCCACCACCCUGCUCUGGCACCGACAUGGUCUGCACGAUCUCCUCCCGCGAGAGGCAACUCAGCAACUCGGUCCCCACUGCCAUCUCAGCACUGCCAGUGGAAAAGCCCAGGAGGAGCAGAGCAGUGGCUGAGCAACAAUUUGAAUAUUCAUAUUUAACCCUUCAAACAACAGAAAAUACGUCAGAACCAUGUUAAGAAGGAUAAGCUUGGAGUGCCCAGUCACCGUGGUAACUGCCAGAAAAAUUCUCCUGAAGUUUGAAGAGGUCAGCUAACGGGGUCAACAACUCUGGCCUCUCUCUGAGCUGGGCCUGGCAGGCUCCAUCCUGCGGUUGGGGUGUUAGCGCAGGCUGAGCCCUGGGAGGUGGACCAUUCCAGCUCUGAUAUAAAUUUUUUGAGUCAGUUCACGGCCUGGACUCUCCAGGUGGCCUCCAAAAUCGAUUGUGACCUUGUGACCCUGUCUAACGGAGGCAUAGCAUCCAACCUAAGUAAGGAUUUAGCCAGGAACGACAGCUUUCCACUGAGUGUUAUUGGGGACAGUACAAACAGUUUGGGAAGCAAGGAGGUAGGUACGAGGAGUAGAGGUCAUUAAAAGCAUAUUAAAAAACUAUUUUAAGAAUCCUUGUUAGCUGAAAGUUUUUAUUUGCAGUAACCAUUCCUUAAGAAAACCCUUCUGGAAACUAUUUUAACCUUCCCUAACAACAUAGUAUCAAGUGCUUCAGUGCAUUAAUAUAUGGAAAAUCGACACUUUACAUAUUCCAAACCAAACUAGUAUUUUAUCUACCUCUGGAUUUUGAGCUUGCAAAUGAAGCUGACUGACAUGUGUUAAACUAGGUGUCUGUAAAGUGUGGGGUUUUUUCCCUAAUAUCACAAAAACUAGGAGACUGCUUAAUAAAGUGGGCUGUUUAUUUUAGGUAGUAAUUUCCCUAAUAUGUGCAUUCUUUUUAGAUUCAAAAGUCCCUUAAUCCAUGUAAUUUUAUUGUAAAAUAGGAAAUUAAGUAUUAUUCAGGAUAUAGUGUGGAAUGAAAAUGUGAGAGUUUCACAGAGCUUUCCUUUACUGCUUUGCAAUACAAAUAGACAAACCACAAAUUUGGUUAUGUAUUUUUGUAGGAAAAAAAAAUUAACAUGCUAAGAUCAUAUUUAUAGACAAUGUGAUAUUUUUUCCUCUAAGAUUUUAAGCAACAAACUAUGUGGGGGGGAAGAGACUGUUACAGAGCUCUGUUUUUGUUAUUAAAUCCAGAAGCUUGCCCUUCUGAGCAAGUGGAUUUGCUCUUGUGUUUUAUUCCCACUCCUACAAACCCUCAUGCAUUGCUCACAUGAGUAGUUGCUGGUCACCACAUGAGUAAGUGGAACUACACUGAGGAGCAAGUUGGAAAGUGCCCUCAGACUUUAAAUGACUUUAAAACUGCUCUGAAGGGAGGAAAUUGUUUCAGUAUUUGUUCCCAGUCUCAGAAAAAUUGUGCAAACUUAUCCCAGCAAGAAUCUUGCCCAAACAUUUCUUGUGCCUCUCAAGAGAAGGCCUGGCUCUGAUGUCCCUCUUCCAGUUGCUUCCCUUUUGAACAGUUCCCCUGAGGUUGGAGGGGCUGCACAGAUGGGGCUAUGAAAUGCAGUUCGGGAAGAGCAUCUGCUCUACAGGCUAAAUAUCAUUGUACUGCUGAGAAGUCCCACAGGUUACAACAGCAAGAGCAUCUAGUUUUUACUUGCAGUCAACACAUUGGUCUGCAGAAGAUCUCCCAAAAUCCAUGGAUACUUGUUGGCCAAGGUCCUACCUCUCAUAGGGUUGGCAUAAUCUGACCCAGUGGGGUUGUUUGAAGAUCAGGAGGAAUAAGAAUAGGGGCUGAAUUGUGCCAUAAAAUAAUUUAGGGCUGACACCUGCACAUGCAGAUAUCAAUGGUGACAGUACUUAAUUCUACCCUGAAUGCUAAUCAUAGUUUGUUGUUGUCAGUGGUUUUUAACAGAACUCUGUUGAAAACAAUUUAUUGCCAUUAGGAAGCGUGUUGAUUCAGGGGAGUGCCUUGUGUGACUGAGAGUGGCAUGAUGGAGCCUACAGCCCUCAGUAAGGAACAGCACAUUUUCUUGCUUUUAAGAAAAAAAACUUUUAAAAAUAGGACUGUGAAUAGCUGGAAGGUGAAUCUUCAGUAUUUUAAAAAGUGUCUACAGAAUUUUUAACAGAUUUAUUUUUUAAAUAUACUUAUACCACCUUUGUAAUGUCAACAUUCAGCGACCAAGUUCUACCUAACAAGCAGAGGAUCACUUCUAAAACAGAUGACACAACUAUUCCACUGGAACUUUUGGACCAAAAGUAGCUCAAAUUUGCCCUAAAGCAUCUGGCUUGGAAUGAGGAACUGUUGGCAGAGGGGACAAAGAGGAGACCUCAAGAGCUUGGACUUGCUGCAAAUUCUUCAAUGUUGACUUUUUGUAGAUCCUAUGGCAUUUAUUAUCAUCUGCAAAUGUGCAAACGUCACUUGAAACAGGUCCUGGACUUGCAUGUUUUGUAUCUCUUCACAGUGUUCAGCUAUUCAUCCACAUCCAGGGAUGUUAGGAGUGGCUGCAGUGGGACAAUUGUUCUUCCUCUUCCCCAUCAGCGCAGUGAAGUGCUCACUCAGCUUCAUUUGAUUCCUGAAGAGCAGGCUUGUUUAGUUUCAGUAGAGUGAUGUGUACGAAUGGGCUUAAGGCAGUGCUAGAGAUAAGCAGUCAGGAUCACCCAAGUCUGUGGUGGUUCCCAGCCCCUAUCCCAUGGAUCACUGGUAAUCCAUGAGGCCUUGGCAAGUUUGCUGCUGGUGGUCUGUGGAACUGUAUUAAAUAGCAAUGUUCACAGUCUUCUAUUAAAAUUUUUAUGAGAAGAAUAUGCGACAGUCUGCAAGAAAAUCUGUGAUCAGAGAGUAAUGUACUAGCCUGAAAGCUCAGAGGAUGUUUGCUGUACAGGAACAGAUCUCAGCCCAUGGGCCAUGAGGCAUUAGAAGGCAUUUUGUUAAUGUUUUCAGAUUAAAUGCAUGCCCAGUGAAAUGAAUGCAUUUUAUUACCCCUGCAAGCAAACAAAACAACAACAAAAAAAAUCCACUUCAAAAUAAAACUAAGAAAAUAAAAGUAAUAAAUGGACACUGAAGCCUCAGCUUAGUUUGUGUUUGCUGGUGUCUAAACUCCUUGUUUCCCAGCACUCUGCAGAGAUGGAGUAGCACUGCUCUAGAAAGCAGCAUGUUGCCAUGGCCCAGAUCAGGGCUGGCAAAGGUCUCUGUGUUCUGGAGGAAGCAGGGAGAACAAGGGAGUGCUGGAACUUACAGGUGUGCUGGCAAAAGGUCCUGAACAAAUGCUGCACUUCCUUCUCCUUUUACUUCUUCCUCUCUGCUUUGAGUGUAUGUGGCUGGUAUCCAAAGGAAAAGCCAAACUAAUUCUGAUGCUUUUUCCUAUUCUGGGUGGACUAAGUCAAAGAAGCCCUUGCAGAAGUGUUUGUGAGAGGGUUACAAUAUAUGUUGAUACUUUAGAAACUAUAGGAAGUUCUUAAUCCUUCCCUGCCCACGGGACCGUCAUUUAUAGACCCGCUAUUGUCUCAUCUUUUAUAAGGAUGUUUCCUUACAUCAAGGUUCCAAGACUUUGCCAUUGUUCACAGCUAUUUCUGUUUGUGGCUUAAUGCACGUCUAGUAUUCUGUUUAUGCUUUCACUGCUCUCCUACGCAGCAGACUGUACCUACACACCAGCUUAGGUGACAUCACUCUCAACACACUCAUUUCUGUGUUUCUUCUUUUUUCCCCCUGAUUUGUCAGUGCAUCUUGAUUUUACAUUAACCUAGUUUGCUACAGGUAACAUGAUAAAGCACAUGAAACUUCAUGCAUUUGCUUAGUAAUUUCAUGUUCAGUUCUUGUUUGAUAAACUUGCUUAUAAAAAAGCUUUUACAUGCUGUUUUUCUACCAGGUUGAAUCCUUUUUAUAAAAAAAAAAAACCCCAAAACCUCUUAACGAGAAUGAAUUCAGCCAUGAGUGGACAAAAUGGAAACAUAGAUUAUUUUGGAUGUAAAAAUUUUAGCUUGAGGUUAGUGGUGGUUUAAUUACAGGAUUUUUUUUCUGUUGUUGUUGCUAUUCAUACAGACAUGCAUUGUUUUCUGCUUUGAUUUAUGUCCAGAUCAGCCCUCUUCAGAACCCCAUUUCUGGCAAUCUCAGCAACACGUGGGGGUCUGGCAGCUUCUGCAGACAUUGCCAUCUUCCCUCCCUGCUCCUUCUUCUGCACUGUUACACCAGUUCCAUAGCCUGUCAUUUCUCAGGAGCUCUUAAUGAUGCCUCUCCUCCAUCAUCUGCCCCACGGCUCUUCUAGAAUCAGAUGCUUUUGUCAAAGGUUUUCAAGCCAAUCUAGAAAUAGACACUGAAAUAAAGGCAGGUGAUCUGGUGAUGGGGUGACGUUCUGUCACUGCCUUCCUGCCCUGCAUUGGCAGAGUACAGACCAUCUCCAGAGCUCAGCGUAAAAUAAGAAUAAUAAUAAGAACUUUGCAAACUGCUUUUAUAACCCUGAAAGAUUUGAUGCAAAUUAAAACCCACCUAGGUUUUGUCAAACCUAACUCUACCCAACACUUCACCUUCUCCACUGCUGUCUUUUAGCUGCUGAAGACUUGCCGACAAGCCUUUUAAAGUCAGGCUUUUGUGUCACGCCUUGCAUAAAGUGACAUUUGGGCUUUUAAACUACCCUUGUGUGCUUGUAACAUACAUAGCAGCACCGCUAUAUUAUUUUUUUUUUUCCCACAUGCAUCCUCACUUUGCAGAGUGAAAACCCCAGCCCUGAACAAACUACAAACAGCCUGAUGAUGCGCGGUGUGGAGUGCCCGGUAACCUUUGUGUUCUCCAGGCAGAGCUCGUGGUCAUUAGUGGGCAAGCACACAUUGAAAUGUGUGAUCUAUUCCUUCCUGAGCCCCACUGCUGCCUUGCUUAGCAGUUCCUCUCGCUGGUGAGUUGCUCUUGUAAUUUCCAGUUAUGUAACCCAUCUCAUUUUGUGAAUAUGUGAAUUUAGCAGCUGUCAGUGUCAGCAGCGGCUGCGAGGGGUGUGUGUGUGUGUCUUUUUUUUUUUUUUUUUUGGCAAGCUGGCAUUACUCAUCAGUCUCAUGGUAGUUUUGUUUGAAAAAUGCUUGUGUUAGAAAAAGUGGAUUUAUCAGCUCAGCACUGUAUGGUGCUAGCAUGCAGCUCAACAAAAGACAAGUGCUCAUUUCAGUAACGCUUGCAGCAUUUCAUGGGGCCCCCAAAUAGGCUGAACAAGGCUUCUCUGGCAGCUAACCCCAAGUACAGUGGGAAACUAUUAAAGUGGCAGUGUCACUGCCUGGAAAAGGGAUUCGGUUUUGUUCCAUCAUUUAUUGCUGCCUUUUUUUUUUUUUUAAGUAAAGACUAUUAACUACAUUAGAAAUUUCCCUUAAUAUUGGAGAAAAGAAGAGGCCUAACUAAAAAUGUACUGAGAGAAGAGAUUUUUCUCAUAGUUUCUCAGAGCGUAGACCAAACUGUCAGUCUGUCCUUCCCAAAAUGGGUCUUUUUAUGAGGAAAAAAAAGAUACUUGUAGCUUUUUCAAGUAAUAAUACAAAGUCAGUGGUACUGCAGCCUUUGAGGAAGAACUCAUUCUUUGUUCAAAUCAGUUUAUUUUCAGAACGAUUUGCUGCACUUACACUUUAUUUUGUAGCUGCUCUUUCAGAAUGCAAACACAACCUGGAGAGUUUUCUGUAUUUAAUUGAAUGUGUGAGGUGAUUAAAAACAUGUUUUAAAAACAGUAUUACAUACUGCAAAUGUGUCAAACCCUUUGUUCACGUUUAUUUAAAACAAAUGUAUUUCUCAGUAUUUAUUUAUUUAUUCUCUCUGUUUACACUCCACACAGAUGGUAAAGAUAAACCAGUGAGCUUCAUUUUUUUCUGAAAAAUUGCCUCUUACAUUUUUAGGUUCUCACACACAGGCAAGAUGCUACAAACCCCACGUGACAAAGAUCAGAGGGAAAUACUUAUUUGAAGAAAUCUUUGUCAUUAGCUGUGUUGUAAGUUUUAUAAAAGGUUCAAUUUCAUGAAAUGCAAAUUCUAGCCUAAUUGUUCCUCUGCAAGCCUUUACAGUCUCUGAGCUGCAUAGUUAAUCCACUACCUGCCUCUACUCACGGAUCCAACAGAAGUCAGAGCCGGGUAAAACAUGUCUUCACACACCAGUUACAUCUAUUUUUAACUUUUUUUUUUUUUUUUGCCUGUUUACCAUACCUUGCAUCCAGACAAGUGUAUGUGAACAUGCACACCUUUAAGGUUGCACAAGGGCCAAACACAUCCACCCUCAGACACAAUUCUGUGUGUCCACCUCCCACAUGUAGGUGUGCUCCAGAUGCUGCUGUGGCUGGGUGGGAGGAGUGGGUGGAUGCAGCUCCCGUCUCAUCCAUCUGCUGUUUCACCACGGAGAGAGGUGGCUACAGUGAAGUGUCUGCUCUCUGCAAGGACAGAGGUUUGAAGUUAUCAGCUCCUUAGAGCUGCAGAGACCACAAACUGAAAUGCACUCUGGCACCACGUGGUGUCUGCACACACACCGUGCAGCCCCUGUAGCCUCCACAUCCCUGCCCUGAUGUCCUGCAGCAUCCCAUGGGUAUACACGAAGCAGCCGUCUCUGGACAACCAAGAGCUUGCUGUGAUUAACCUGUUGGCUUUCAAGCACGUGUGAAGACAGCACUGUGGUAGCAGGCUUUUCAGCUGGAAUUGCGGCAAGGAACAUUUUAUAGGAAUCUCUCCAUGACCUUUCAAAGAAAAUUGCAAAGUGUUCUGCCCAGGGGGGCUGUAUUCCAACUGCUGUUUGACAGAGGUAAACAUGAGUAAUACGACUCUCUUCUUACACUUGUGACACUGAAAACCCUUGAGAGAUAAUUCAAGAGGAAAAAAACCCUGGAUAAAAUGAAACAGCGGCUUGUGAGCAUCGGUGUGCACACGUGUGUGUGCUUGUACUACUGCUGGCACGCUUGUUUUCAAGCAGAGGUGUCAGUGAUGGAUGACUUAACGUAAACUUUCAGUGCAUGGCACUGUUUCUGUGUGGUGUCUGCUGCUUUUUUCCUGAACUGCUCUUUCCCAUCCCAAGCAAGCGUAACGUGCUGCUGCGCUGUCAGCACCCCACCAGCCUCGUGAUGGGGACGCAAUACCGGAAUUCCAGGAGCUUUUCCCUGCUGCUGGCUGGGAGCAGGAGCGACUUCGGUGGCAAAGGGGCUGCGUGGGGGCCAGGCAGGUUCUUGGGGGUGCUGGAUGGCAGUGGGACACAUCACUGGUUGUGGAGUUCCUGCAGGUGUUGGACACCCUAGGGGUCUCUGGCAAAGCUGAUUCCGUGGCUGUCAUGUGCAUCCAGGCGUGUGAGAACGGGGGGGGUUUGCUCGUCCUGGGGAGGGCAGCUCUGGGUGCUGGAAUUGCUGAGAUCCAUCCCAUCCCUUUGGUUCUGCACAGUCCCCUCAGCCCGUGAGAAACUGUGCACAAAGUUUCUUCUCAACGUGAAUUUAAUACGCUUUCAGACUUGACAACCUCCUUUUAAAUGAAAACAUUUAUGUUGAGCAAAAGGCAUGUUUGCCUCUCCAAAUAAAUGGAAUUAUGGUUCUAAGAUCUGACUUAAUCCUGAAGUUCUUACACUGCGCAGUAAGUAGAAAAGAAAGAGGAUUGCUUGGAAGAGUAGGGGUUAGCAGGAUCAGGCUCCAUUUUACAUCUUCUUGCUCAUUUUCCUUCUGGUAUUUAAUACACCUUUCUCAGAACUCCCACUGGCUAUUUAUAACAAAGUCAAAGUAGUUUCACCUCUAUUACCUAAUGGCAAACAAACUAAUAAUUGAAAAUAAUGAGGGAUGGUACAGAAAGUGUCCAUCCAGCUUUCCUGUUAGAAAAUUUUGAGGACUGUUAAACAAACAAAAAGUGCUGUUCUUCCAGAUGUAUUUUGACAUAAAGUCAUGUCCUUUAUAAAUUAAUUUCAGGACAUUUCUCAAAUGCAUCAUAACAACUUCUUCUUUUUCUACCUUUUUUUUUUGUGUGUGUGUGUAACUGUAUUUAAAAUCUGCAUUUAUAUUUCAAAGGAUUUGAGGGAAGAUGUUUACAAAGUGAUGCCAUUUGUAUUUGUUAUUUUCUAAAAAUGGAAUUUCUAAUCAGACAACAUUAAAAUACUUUUGUAGCAA